rnacentral:tmRNA from 1 species
GGGGACGACCGGUAUUGACAGCUUGUGCAGGUCGGUAGUAAGCACGUCGGGAGUUGGUCUUGACCUCCCGUAACUAAUCAGUCCAAACAAUAAUCGGCAAUACUCAGUAUGCCAUGGCAGCUUAAUUCUUAAUUGAAUUUCGUUUUGGAUAGUCCCAAUUAGAUUGCGACUAUUCGCCACCUCCCACUCCGCUAAACUUUGCCGUGGAGAAUUGGGGGGACGCUACGCAAAGUCGAAUGUUGUGAUUUCUCUAAGCAAACAUUUAGUACAGAGAGGAUAAGGACGGAAUUAGGUCAGGCUUGAACCUUGCCCGUCUCGAAAAAAUAAUCAAGACUAAACGUGUAGAAAGUUAUCGAGUUCCUUGUCUGGACGAGAGUUCGAAUCUCUCCGUCUCCACAA